AUACUGGCCAGAGACCGAUAGCGCACAAGUAGAGUGAUCGAAAGGUGAAAAGAACUUUGAAAAGAGAGUUAAACAGUACGUGAAAUUGUUGAAGGGGAAGCGCUUGCAACCAGACUUGGACUUAGUUGAUCACCCGGUGUUCUCACCGGGGCACUCUGCUAUGUACAGGCCAGCAUCGGUUUUGGUGGUUGGAUAAAGGCUGUGGGAAUGUGGCUCUUCCGGGAGUGUUAUAGCCCACGGUGCAAUGCAGCCUACCGAGACCGAGGACCGCGCUUCGGCUAGGAUGCUGGCGUAAUGGUUGUAAGCGGCCCGUCUUGAA
rnacentral:rRNA from 1 species